GGACGGGUGAGGAAUACAUCGGAAUCUACUUUUUCGUGGGGGAUAACGUAGGGAAACUUACGCUAAUACCGCAUACGACCUACGGGUGAAAGCAGGGGAUCUUCGGACCUUGCGCGAUUGAAUGAGCCGAUGUCGGAUUAGCUAGUUGGCGGGGUAAAGGCCCACCAAGGCGACGAUCCGUAGCUGGUCUGAGAGGAUGAUCAGCCACACUGGAACUGAGACACGGUCCAGACUCCUACGGGAGGCAGCAGUGGGGAAUAUUGGACAAUGGGCGCAAGCCUGAUCCAGCCAUACCGCGUGGGUGAAGAAGGCCUUCGGGUUGUAAAGCCCUUUUGUUGGGAAAGAAAUCCAGCUGGCUAAUACCCGGUUGGGAUGACGGUACCCAAAGAAUAAGCACCGGCUAACUUCGUGCCAGCAGCCGCGGUAAUACGAAGGGUGCAAGCGUUACUCGGAAUUACUGGGCGUAAAGCGUGCGUAGGUGGUCGUUUAAGCCCGUUGUGAAAGCCCUGGGCUCAACCUGGGAACUGCAGUGGAUACUGGGCGACUAGAGUGUGGUAGAGGGUAGCGGAAUUCCUGGUGUAGCAGUGAAAUGCGUAGAGAUCAGGAGGAACAUCCAUGGCGAAGGCAGCUACCUGGACCAACACCGACACUGAGGCACGAAAGCGUGGGGGGCAAACAGGAUUAGAUACCCUGGUAGUCCACGCCCUAAACGAUGCGAACUGGGAUGUUGGGUGCAAUUUGGCACGCAGUAUCGAAGCUAACGCGUUAAGUUCGCCGCCUGGGGGAGUACGGUCGCAAGACUGAAACUCAAAGGAAUUGACGGGGGCCCGCACAAGCGGUG
rnacentral:rRNA from 1 species